GAUGAACGCUGGCGGCGUGCCUAAUACAUGCCAGUCGAGCGAACAGAUGAGGAGCUUGCUCCUCUGACGUUAGCGGCGGACGGGUGAGUAACACGUGGAUAACCUACCUAUAAGACUGGGAUAACUUCGGGAAACCGGAGCUAAUACCGGAUAAUAUAUUGAACCGCAUGGUUCAAUAGUGAAAGACGGUUUUGCUGUCACUUAUAGAUGGAUCCGCGCCGCAUUAGCUAGUUGGUAAGGUAACGGCUUACCAAGGCAACGAUGCGUAGCCGACCUGAGAGGGUGAUCGGCCACACUGGAACUGAGACACGGUCCAGACUCCUACGGGAGGCAGCAGUAGGGAAUCUUCCGCAAUGGGCGAAAGCCUGACGGAGCAACGCCGCGUGAGUGAUGAAGGUCUUCGGAUCGUAAAACUCUGUUAUUAGGGAAGAACAAAUGUGUAAGUAACUAUGCACGUCUUGACGGUACCUAAUCAGAAAGCCACGGCGAACUACGU
rnacentral:rRNA from 1 species